rnacentral:rRNA from 1 species
GGAUGCGAUCAUAUCAGCACUAAAGCACCGGAUCCCAUUAGACUCUGAAGUUAAGCGUGCUUGGGCGAGAGUAGUAUUAGGAUGGGUGACCUCCUGGGAGGUCCUCGUGUUGCAUUCC